GGCGAGGGUUCCUCUACUUUUACAGUAUAUCUAUAUGUAGAUGUGUGAGCGCGCGCGCGCGCGCGCGCGCGUGUGUGUGUGUGUGUGUGUGUGUGUGUAUCAUACAUAUCAUACGUACGUAGAAGCGUCCUGCCGCGAGAAGCAUUCAGCAUUAAUACGUAGAUUAGAUAUAUGAGAUGCAGGUAGAUAUAUCUCCGAUUUCGUAACUGAGAAUCUGUUAAGGAAUGUUUAUCGAGUCUUCAUCGAGUCUUUAUCGAGCCUUCAUCUAAUGUUCACCGAGCAGCUAUCGUUUGGUCUCCGUUUAAAGGCGAAUUACUAAAAUUUGUACGAUUUAAAGAGAAAGAGGGAUUAAUACAUCGUUCAUGAUACUGACGAUUAUACUAUAGCAGUAGUGGUUAUAAUAAUAAUGAUAAGAAGGAGGAGAGGAGACAUCAGAGGAGGAAGAAGCCUCUCGAGCGUGGCCGGGCUACUUUACCCGCAUGUGCACACGCGUGUCAUUGACCGAUGUGUCACGUUCAUUGGUGGCUCGAACGCUCGGAAUGAUCGCGAGGAGAAGAAGAGGAACAAAGAAGGCGAUGAGAAGGAAAGAAGGCGACGUAUGCAGGACGGUCCCGGUGGUGACGUAGGACGUAGGAAAGAGAAAAGGGGUGGGGGAGAUCCGCGAGUCGGGGGCACCGGCUAAUCUAAAGGAGCGACCCACGGGGUAUGUCGUUCGCUAAUCACCCUGAUGAAGCUUGAUGGGGCCAGCAGCAAUUGUCUCGAGUGAGAUCACUUUGCGCGCUCCGCAUCGCUACAUACUGGAAAGGUUCUAAAAGAAAAGCAAAAGCACGAUCGAAGGAGAGGAACGAACGGAAGUUAAAGGAAAAUGUCAGAGAAAGGGAUGGUGGGUGGGCGGAAGUGCUCUGUGCACCAUCAACGUGGGUAGGAGUGGAGCGGAAGGAGAGGAACGGGAAAGAGGGUAGAGCGGAAGGGCGGCAGAUAGAGGAAAGCGCGGAAAGGAUAGGGGUGAGAGAAGCGACGUAGUAUAGAGGGUGGUCGGUCGGUCGGUUGGUCGGUCGGUCGGUCGGUCGGUUGGCUGGUUGGUUGGCUGGCUGGCUGGCUGGCUGACUGGUUGGUUGGUUGGCUGGCUGGCUGGCUGGCUGACUGGCUGCUUGGAUGCCUAGGUGGGUGGUUGGGAUGGAAGCGGAUGAAACGGGAACCGGAACAAGGGUGGGGCAGGAACACGACGUCGACGCCGACGCCGACGCCGACGCCGACUACGACGCCGACGGCGGCCCCGGUCCCGAUACGGCGGAAGCGUCGCGUUUGCCGGAAGUCGCCAAGGAAAUGAAAUGCCUCCCAGCCAGCCAACCCUCGGGAGUUUCUGCGACGACUGAACAGGAAGUAGCGCUCCGCGCCAGAAUUUCUCGCAGUUCUCUUUUCUGUCUGGAGAACGUGCGAGUGGAUAGCAUCCACCGAGUUGCCAUCCAACUGAACGCGUUUCUCAACGUGAAGGAAGAUUACGAUUUAUUCUCUCUCGCAAUUACUAUUCUAUCUUAUCUAUUAACAUAUCUAUUUACGUAUCUGUGUCUGUGUAUAUGCAUAUACAUGUAUAUGUGUAUAUGCAUAUACAUGUAUAUGUGUGUAUAUAUAUAUAUAUAUAUAUAUGUAUACAUAUAUA